rnacentral:rRNA from 1 species
ACAAGCAGCGGAGCGUGUGGUUUAAUUCGAUGUUACACGAAGAACCUUACCAGGGUUUGACAUGCAAGUGGUAGGAAGCCGAAAGGUGACCGACCCUUCGGGGAGCUUGCACAGGUGCUGCAUGGCUGUCGUCAGCUCGUGUCGUGAGAUGUUCGGUUAAGUCCGCUAACGAGCGCAACCCUCGCUGUGUGUUAUAUGUGUCACACGGGACUGCCGGUCUUAAGCCGGAGGAAGUGGGGAUGAUGUCAAGUCAGCAUGGCCUUUAUAUCCAGGGCUACACACACGCUACAAUGGUCUGUACAAUGGGUAGCCAAGCCGCGAGGCGGAGCCAAUCCUGAAAGCAGGCCUCAGUUCAGAUUGCAGUCUGCAACUCGACUGCAUGAAGCCGGAGUUGCUAGUAACCGCAGGUCAGCAAUACUGCGGUGAAUACGUUCCCGGGUCUU